rnacentral:rRNA from 1 species
UCGAGAAUCUUCCACAAUGGACGAAAGUCUGAUGGAGCGACGCCGCGUGAUUGAUGAAGCGAUUCGUCGUGUAAAGAUCUUUUAUGAGGGAAGAAGUCUAUUGACGGUACCUCAUGAAUAAGGGGCUCCUAACUCUGUGCCAGCAGGAGCGGUAAUACAGAGGCCCCGAGCGUUAUCCGGAAUCAUUGGGCGUAAAGGGUGUGUAGGUGGCGUUGUUAGUCGUUUGUGAAAGCCCGGGGCUUAACCUCGGAGACGCGAACGAAACGGCAAUGCUUGAAUAUGUGAGAGGUAAGCGGAACUCAUGGUGUAGGGGUGAAAUCCGUUGAUAUCAUGGGGAACACCAAAAGCGAAGGCAGCUUACUGGCACAUUAUUGACGCUGAAACACGAAAGCGUGGGUAG